rnacentral:misc_RNA from 1 species
GAAGGAUGACAAAGUGCAGUGCAAGUAUGCCUGCAAUCUCUCCUAGGAGCACCGCAUGUCUGACCACAAGAAGCUCUCGAACCAGCUUCAGUUCCAGAUGAAGUAUCACAAGGUGGUGGAUGACAGGUUCUGCCACAUGCAUGUAGGCCACACUGCCUGGUCUUACCACAGAGUUUGUUGCAUCUGAUAUCCUUUGAACCACAAGGUAUGUUCCCAAGAACCACAUGUCCACCAACGCACUCCUUUGCUAUAGGGACUGAACAAGGUGGGCAGUCUCC